CCUACGGGGGGCAGCAGUCGAGAAUCAUUCACAAUGGGGGAAACCCUGAUGGUGCGACGCCGCGUGGGGGAAUGAAGGUCUUCGGAUUGUAAACCCCUGUCAUGUGGGAGCAAAUUAAAAAGAUAGUACCACAAGAGGAAGAGACGGCUAACUCUGUGCCAGCAGCCGCGGUCAUACAGAGGUCUCAAGCGUUGUUCGGAAUCACUGGGCGUAAAGCGUGCGUAGGCUGUUUCGUAAGUCGGGUGUGAAAGGCGCGGGCUCAACCCGCGGACGGCACAUGAUACUGGGAGACUAGAGUACUGGAGGGGGAACCGGAAUUCUCGGUGUAGCAGUGAAAUGCGUAGAUAUCGAGAGGAACACUGGUGGCGAAGGCGGGUUCCUGGACAGUAACUGACGCUGAGGCACGAAGGUCAGGGGAGCGAAAGGGAUUAGAUACCCGAGUAGUC
rnacentral:rRNA from 1 species